rnacentral:snRNA from 1 species
GGAUGAGGGCGAUCUGGCUGGCUAGAUGGGUGUCCCCUCCCUCCCUCACCGUUCCGUGUGCAAACCUCCCGAAGCUGCAUGCUCGGUCGAAGAGGACGACCUUCCCCGAGUAGAGGAGGAGCGGUCUUUGGUCAAGGGUACAUGAGUAGCUGCGCUCCCCUGCUAGAACUUCCAAACAAGCUCUCAAAAGUCUUCAAAUUACAUAGGCCUGGUGGUAUCAUAAUUAAGAAAAGGGAAAUGUGAUUAUCUU